rnacentral:rRNA from 1 species
GAUGAACGCUAGCGGCAGGCUUAAUACAUGCAAGUCAAGGGGGUAGCAAUACAACCGGCGCACGGGUGAGUAACGCGUACACAACAUACCAUAUACUGGGGUAUAGCUUUGGGAAACUGAAGGUAAUCCCCCAUAACAUUGCGAGAGGGCAUCUGAUUGCAAUUAAAGUUUCGGCGGUAUAUGAUUGGUGUGCGUUUGAUUAGCUAGUUGGUAGGGUAACGGCCUACCAAGGCGACGAUCAAUAGUUGGCGUGAGAGCGCGACCAGCCACACUGGAACUGAGACACGGUCCAGACUCCUACGGGAGGCAGCAGUAGGGAAUAUUGGACAAUGGGCGCAAGCCUGAUCCAGCCAUGCCGCGUGAUAGAUGAAGGCCCUCUGGGUUGUAAAUAUCUUUUAUCUGGGAAGAAACUCCUCUAUUCUUAGAGGCCUGACGGUACCAGAGGAAUAAGCACCGGCUAACUCCGUGCCAGCAGCCGCGGU